rnacentral:rRNA from 1 species
AUACGUAGGUGGCAAGCGUUAUCCGGAAUUAUUGGGCGUAAAGGGUGCGUAGGCGGGAUUUUAAGUCAGCGGUAAAAUUUUCAGGCUCAACCUGAACACUGCCGUUGAAACUGGGAUUCUUGAGUAUGGAUGAAGUAGGCGGAAUUCGUUGUGUAGCGGUGACAUGCUUAGAUAUAACGAGGAACUCCGAUUGCGUAGGCAGCUUACUAAGCCAUAACUGACGCUCAAGCACGAAAGCGUGGGGAUCAAACAGGAUUAGAUACCCUGGUAGUCCACGCCGUAAACGAUGAUUACUAGUUGUUUGCGAUAUACCGUAAGUGACUAAGCGAAAGCGAUAAGUAAUCCACCUGGGGAGUACGCCGGCAACGGCGAA